rnacentral:lncRNA from 1 species
ACAAGGCCUACAACUUUCAUGGAGGAGUCAACUCCAAAACUUUACACCAUAAUCCGUAAAACAUAAUGACAAACUCUAACCAUCUAAUUGUGGUUUACGUCAUCAUCUGAAACUGUUUUUCAAAGUUUUUUUUACUAAAAAAUGAUCGUGUACUGAAUUAAAAAAGAUGAACGGUUUGGAUUAUUGAUAUCACAUUCCGAUUUUUAAGCUUAGUGCAAAUAUUGCUUGAUGUUUAUAAACUCUAUAGACACUGUAGAAUAUUGAGCAAUAUUUGCACUAAUCUUAGAAAUCAAAACGUGAUGUCAACGAUCCAAACUAUUCAUCUUUUUCAAUCCACUACAAGAUCAUGUCUUGAUAAAAGAAACUCGGAAAAACAGUUUCCGGUAAUGGAAAUUAAAGAGUAAAUGUAAACGACAAUCGGAUAGUUAGAGUUUGUCACUAAAGUUUAUGGAUUAUAUAGUGUCAAGUUUUGGAGUUGAUUUUUUAAUGGAAGUUGUAGGUCAUGUCAUUACGAGCGUUUCUAUAUUAUUUUUUUGUAUGUUUUUGCAACUGUAAUUUAAUUAUUACUAUGUUUUUUUUUUUGAAGUCAUAGGGAAAACGCUAUUUCAUGUGUUUCAAGGAUUUCAAAAGUGCAAAUGACGAUCUAACCAUCGCCAAAGCAUAAAGUAUGUGAUCUUGAAUGUUGACUUAUUUUUUCUUAUUUUUCCCAUUUCCUAUGUUGGCCAAAACGAGUUAGGGGUGAGGAUCGGAGAUCAAGAAAUACCAAAGAGCGACC